rnacentral:rRNA from 1 species
AAUGAACGCUGGCGGCAGGCCUAACACGUGCAAGUCGAACGGAUCCUUCGGGAUUAGUGGCGGACGGGUGAGUAACGCGUGGGAACAUACCCUUGGUACGGAAUAGCCUCGGGAAACUGGGAGUAAUACCGUAUGUGGUCGAGAGACGAAAGAUUUAUCGCCAAAGGAUUGGCCCGCGUUGGAUUAGGUAGUUGGUGGGGUAAUGGCCUACCAAGCCGACGAUCCAUAGCUGGUUUGAGAGGAUGAUCAGCCACACUGGGACUGAGACACGGCCCAGACUCCUACGGGAGGCAGCAGUGGGGAAUCUUAGACAAUGGGGGAAACCCUGAUCUAGCCAUGCCGCGUGAUCGAUGAAGGCCUUAGGGUUGUAAAGAUCUUUCAGGUGGGAAGAUAAUGACUGUACCACCAGAAGAAGCCCCGGCUAACUCCGUGCCAGCAGCCGCCGUAA